AGGGCGCGCGGUGGAUGCCUAGGCUCUCGGAGGCGAAGAAGGACGCGAUAAGCCGCGAUAGUCCACGGCGAGGUGCAAGUAACCCUUGACCCGUGGAUUUCCGAAUGGGGCAACCCGGCUGGAUAGAUUCCAGUCAUGCAUUAAUGCAAGCGAACGCGGGGAACUGAAACAUCUCAUUACCCGCAGGAGAAGAAAACAACAGUGAUUCCCCCAGUAGUGGCGAGCGAACGGGGAAGAGCCCAAACCGCUGCCGUUUCGGCGACAGCGGGGUCAUGGGACCACGCCAUUCGAAACAAGAUGAAGUGCAAUUACCUGGAAAGGUAAGCCGCGGAGGGUGAUAGCCCCGUGCACGUCAAUUCUUGUGGAGAUAGUGGAAUCCCGAGUAGGGCGGGACACGAGAAAUCCUGCCUGAAUUCGCCAGGACCUCCUGGCAAGGCUAAAUACUCCCGAGAGACCGAUAGUGAACCAGUACCGCGAGGGAAAGGUGAAAAGUACCCCGAGCAGGGGGGUGAAAUAGACCCUGAACCCGCGCGCCUACAAGCGGUCGGAGCUGCCUUGUGCAGUGACGGCGUGCCUUUUGCAUAAUGAGCCUACGAGUUAGUCGUCACCAGCGAGGUUAAGGGCUUCAGGCCCGUCAGCCGAAGUGAAAGCGAGCCUUAACAGGGCGUCAAGUUGGUGGCGCUAGACGCGAAACCUUGUGAUCUACCCACGAGCAGGUUGAAGUCGCGGUAACACGUGAUGGAGGACCGAACCGGUAAACGUUGAAAAGUUUUCGGAUGACUCGCGGGUAGGGGUGAAAGGCCAAUCAAACUGGGAAAUAGCUCGUACUCUCCGAAAUGCAUUUCGGUGCAGCCUGUGAUGUUCUGUUCCAGAGGUAGAGCUACUGGUUGGACGCGAGGGCUUCACCGCCUAUCAAAUCCGGAUAAACUCCGAAUGCUGGAACACGAAAUCAUGGAGUGAGCCCGCGGGUGCUAAGGUCCGCGGACGAGAGGGAAAGAACCCGGACCACCGGCUAAGGUCCCGGAUGGACAGUUAAGUUGAUCAAACGAGGUGGGAUCGCGGAGACAGCUAGGAUGUUGGCUUGGAAGCAGCCAUUCAUUUAAAGAGUGCGUAACAGCUCACUAGUCGAGCGAUCCCGCGUGGAUAAUACACGGGCAUCAAACUGUCAACCGAAGCCGUGGGGUCAGCGAAAAGCUGACCGGUAGGAGAGCAUUCCUGCCAGCGUUGAAGGUCACCCGCGAGAGUGACUGGAGCGGCAUGAAAAGCAAAUGUAGGCAUAAGUAACGAUAAUGGGGGCGAGAACCCCCCACGCCGCAAGACCAAGGCUUCCCCGGCAAUGUCAAUCAGCCGGGGGUCAGCCGGCCUCUAAGGCUAACCCGAAGGGGGAUGCCGACGAGAAACGGGUUAACAUUCCCGUGCUUCUCGUCACCGUGACGCGGUGACGGGGUGAUGAAUGGACCGCGCGCUGACGGAAUAGCGCGUUGAAGGCCGUACCCUGUGACGGUGGUAGUCAAGCACGCCACCGGAGGCGAAAGUCGAUAGUACCUCGAGGCCUCGGCCGAGGGGAUAGCGUCCAGGCAAUUUACCCCCGAGAAAACCCGCUAAACUUCAAGUGACGAGGAACCGUACUGUAAACGGACACACGUGGUCGGGUAGAACAUACCAAGGCGCUCGAGUGAUUCAUGGUCAAGGAACUAGGCAAAAUAGUCCUGUAACUUCGGGAAAAAGGACGCUCUAGUGAUAGAGCCGCAGAGUAAUGGCCCAGGCGACUGUUUACCAAAAACACAUGGCUAUGCCAAAUCGAAAGAUGACGUAUAUGGCCUGACACCUGCCCGGUGCCGGAAGGUUAAGAGGAGAGCUCAUCGGAAACGAGAAGGUUUGAAUUGAAGCCCCGGUAAACGGCGGCCGUAACUAUAACGGUCCUAAGGUAGCGAAAUUCCUUGUCGGGUAAGUUCCGACCUGCACGAAUGGUGUAACGAUCUGGGCACUGUCUCGACCAUGAGCUCGGUGAAAUUGUAGUUCCGGUGAAGAUGCCGGGUACCCGCGACGGGACGGAAAGACCCCGUGAACCUUUACUGCAGCUUCGCGUUGUUCCCGGGCACGGGACGUGUAGGAUAGGUCGGAGGCUACGAUUCGGUUUCGCCAGGAAUCGAGGAGCCAUCGUUGAAAUACGACCCUUCUCUUGUCUGGGAUCUAACCCUAGGUACAGGGGACACCGCGUGGUGGGUAGUUUGACUGGGGUGGUCGCCUCCAAAAGCGUAACGGAGGCUUCCA
rnacentral:rRNA from 1 species